rnacentral:rRNA from 1 species
UACAGAGGUCUCAAGCGUUGUUCGGAAUCACUGGGCGUAAAGGGUGCGUAGGCUGCACGGUAAGUCAGAGGUGAAAUCCCGGGGCUCAACCUCGGAAUUGCCUCCGAUACUGCCGUGCUUGAGGACUGGAGAGGAGAUUGGAAUUCACAGUGGAGCAGUGAAAUGCGUAGAUAUUGUGAGGAACACUAGUGGCGAAGGCGAAUCUCUGGACAGUUCCUGACGCUGAGGCACGAAGGCCAGGGGAGCAAACGGG